AUUGAACGCUGGCGGCAGGCCUAACACAUGCAAGUCGAGCGGAUGAAGGGAGCUUGCUCCUGGAUUCAGCGGCGGACGGGUGAGUAAUGCCUAGGAAUCUGCCGGGUAGUGGGGGAUAACGUCCGGAAACGGGCGCUAAUACCGAAUACGUCCUGAGGGAGAAAGUGGGGGAUAUUCGGACCUCCCGCAUUCUGAUGAGCCUAGUCCGGAUUAGCUAGUUGGUGGGGUAAAGGCCUACCAAGGCGACGAUCCGUAACUGGUCUGAGAGGAUAAUCAGUCACACUGGAACUGAGACACGGUCCAGACGCCUAAGGGAGGCAGCAGAGGGGAAUAUUGGACAAUGGUCGAAAGCCUGAUCCAGCCAUGCCGCGUGUGUGAAGAAGGUCUUCGGAUUGUAAAGCACUUUAAGUUGGGAGGAAGGGCAGUAAGUUAAUACCUUGCUGUUUUGACGUUACCAACAGAAUAAGCACCGGCUAACUUCGUG
rnacentral:rRNA from 1 species